AAUGGUUCAAGUUAGGAAGUGCAUCACCUAACAAAUGAGACUUGAAUUAUCCAGAUUAGGAAGCGCAUCUUCUAAGGGUUGAAUUUUUACCAUAAUUUGAUUAUCAAACCCGUGCAACAACAUUAUUUCCUGCAUUUGUGGAAAUGAGGCAUUGCAACCCUUGAUAUUUAUACUCUAAAGUACUUGAUUUGAAAGUAACAUGUUUCCUGUUUCAUCAAAGAAAAUUUGUGAUUUCAAAAACAUGG
rnacentral:lncRNA from 1 species